AUGCAGUCUGGUUCAAAGUUCGUCAAGAUUAUAGUGCCGGCUAGGAGGCUAUCAGCAUCUAUCAGUGGCACAACUGUGGGUUCUAGUAAGAAAGUGCGCGGUGCUGAAAAGCUUGCUCUGCUGGUCCAAAGCUGUGCAGAUGUUCGGUCUCUAAAGAAGCUGCAUGCUCGUGUUUUGGCACACGGACUUGGCUGGGAUGCGAUCCUUGGAUCUAAGAUCCUUGGCUUGUAUGCACAUUUAGGCGCCUUGCCUGAUUCAAGGCUUGUUUUCCAGAGUAUUGUGAAUGGCGAUCUUGCCCUUUGGAAUUCUGCCAUGGUUGAUUAUUUCAGAGCUGGUUACUUGGAGGAAGUUAUUCUUUUGUACAGGAGGCUGAAGUUGCAUCAGCUUUGUUUGAAUGAGAAAAGUAUUAUAUUUGGUUUGAAGAGUUGCACUCAGCUCAGGAAUUUGUUUUUGGGCAAAGGAAUGCAUGUAGAUUCACUGAAGCUUGGCCUGAGUGGGGAUAAAUUUGUCGGUUCCUCGCUGGUUGGGUUAUACUCCAAGCUUGGCAAGAUUGAUGAUUCACAGCGAGUGUUUGAAGAGAUCUUUGACAAGGAUAUUGUUGCUUACACUUCAAUGAUCUCUGGCUAUUCUGAUGUAGUGGAUUCGUCUGCGUGGAAUGCAUUCGAAAUUGCCAGUGAAAUGAUAAGGAAUAGCUUGGAAGUAAACCGUGUGACACUGGUAAGCUUAUUGCAAGUUGCUGGGAAUUUGGAAGCCUUCCGGCUGGGUAAAUCAAUGCACUGCUAUGCCAUAAGGAGAGGAAUUGGCGUCUCAGAUGAAGUCCUAGAGACAAGUCUUGUUGACAUGUAUGCUCGAUGUGGAGCUUAUCAAUUAGCGUAUGCUCUUUUGAACAAUUCAAAGGGAACCGUGGCUUCGUGGAAUGCUGUGCUUUCUGGUCUUACUAGAACUCAAGAGAGUAGGGAUGCAAUCCAGUAUUUUUCUGUUAUGCUGCAUCAUCAUAAAGUAACUCCAGAUUCAGUAACCUUUGCAAAUGUGCUUUCUGCUUGUGCUGAAUUAUGCUAUUGUGGCUAUGCUGCUAGUAUUCAUGCCUACUUGAUCAGAAGAACUAUAGCCCUGGAUCUUGUUUUGGCCACUGCUCUUAUUGAGGUGUACUCCAAGUGCAAAAGAGUUGUGAGAUCCAGGCAUCUCUUUGAUCAACUGACGGUUAAAGAUUUAGUCUCCUAUAACGUGAUGAUACAUGGUUAUCUGCAAAACGGCCUGGCAGAUGAAGCCACCACAUUACUCAAUGAAAUGAUGAAAGAAUGUAUUGCACCAAAUUCUGCAACUGUUGUUUGCCUGCUCGCAGCUUUUGCUGAUCAAAGGGAUUUAGUAAGAGGAAGGUGGAUUCACGGAUUUGCAAUUAGACAUGGCUUUUCUUCAGAUGUGGACAUUGCAAAUCAAAUUCUGCAUAUGUAUUCAAUUUGCAGAGAAAUUGUCGCGACAAAGAUUGUAUUUGACUCAUUGGAAAAGAAAAACUUGUUUUCAUGGACAGCCAUGAUGAAGGGGUGCUUAUCUUUUGGGCGUGCAGAUGAGGUUGUUCGAUUAUGUCAAUUAAUGCAGCAACACGGGGAGAAGCCCGAUUCUGUCACUCUUAUGUAUGCAGUUCAGGCUGUUUCUGAGCUUGGACAUCUGAAGGGUGUAAAAGAAAUUCAAUGCUUUGUUUACCAUGCCUCCAUGGAGAAAGAUACGAUUACCGCAAAUUCUUUGAUAACUGCAUAUGCUAAAUGUGGAAGGUUGGAUAUGUCAGAAGCUCUUUUCUUCAGUAUGGAACACAAAAACCUGGAUUCAUGGAAUGCGGUGAUCAGUGCUUAUGGGAUGCAUGGAUUUUAUCUUAAGGUUCUUGAAAUUUUUCAGCAAAUGGAAGAUGAAAAAAUUAAGCCUGAUGAGUUAACAUUCACUUCUGUGCUUUCUGCCUGCAGUCAUGCUGGCCUUGUUAAGGAGGGUUGGUGUAUUUUUCAGUCAAUGAUUUCGCUGUAUUCAGUUCAUCCACAAGAAGAGCACUAUGGUUGCAUAGUUGACUUAUUGGGUCGGGCAGGACAUUUAGAAGAAGGAUACAAAUUCAUAAAGCUAUUGUCGUUGACUGAUAAAUCGAGCAUGUAUUGUGCUCUCCUCUCUGCUUGCAGAACAUAUGGAAAUACACUGCUUGGGCAUAUUAUAAGCAAAGAGCUCCUUGAGCACGGACCACAGGACCCAGGUACUUAUGCUUUGAUUUCAGAAGUGUAUGCACAGGAAGGACAGUGGAAUGAAUCUGCUAAUUUAAGGGCUAGCGCUAACGGAAGUGAUUCAAAGAAACUUCCUGGCUCUAGUUUGAUGGAAUCAGUCUAG
rnacentral:rRNA from 1 species